CCUACGGGUGGCAGCAGUGGGGAAUAUUGCACAAUGGAGGAAACCCUGAUGCAGCGACGCCGCGUGAGUGAAGAAGUAAUUCGUUAUGUAAAGCUCUAUCAGCAGGGAAGAAAAUGAAGGUACCUGAGUAAGAAGCCCCGGCUAACUACGUGCCAGCAGCCGCGGGAAUACGUAGGGGGCAAGCGGUAUCCGGAUUUACUGGGUGUAAAGGGAGCGUAGACGGCAGUGCAAGUAUGGAGUGAAAGGCGGGGGGUCAACCCGCGGACUGCUCUGGAAACUGUACGGCUGGAGUGCAGGAGAGGUAAGUGGAAUUCCUGGUGUAGCGGUGAAAUGCGUAGAUAUUAGGAGGAACACCAGUGGCGAAGGCGGCUUACUGGACUGUAACUGACGCUGAGGCUCGAAAGCGUGGGGAGCAAACAGGAUUAGAUACCCGAGUAGUC
rnacentral:rRNA from 1 species